GGUGGUUCUCGGGUAAUGCACCCCGGAAUUGGGCUCCCUCCUCUCUGAUUCCAUGUGUAUCACCCAAGAAGCGCA
rfam:Myotis lucifugus cont2.7855, whole genome shotgun sequence.